rnacentral:rRNA from 1 species
AUUGAACGCUGGCGGCAUGCCUUACACAUGCAAGUCGAACGGUAACAGGUCUUCGGAUGCUGACGAGUGGCGAACGGGUGAGUAAUACAUCGGAACGUGCCUAGUAGUGGGGGAUAACUACUCGAAAGAGUGGCUAAUACCGCAUGAGAUCUACGGAUGAAAGCAGGGGAUCGCAAGACCUUGUGCUACUAGAGCGGCCGAUGGCAGAUUAGGUAGUUGGUGGGAUAAAAGCUUACCAAGCCGACGAUCUGUAGCUGGGCUGAGAGGACGAUCAGCCACACUGGGACUGAGACACGGACCAGACUCCUACGGGAGGCAGCAGUGGGGAAUUUUGGACAAUGGGCGCAAGCCUGAUCCAGCAAUGCCGCGUGCAGGAUGAAGGCCUUCGGGUUGUAAACUGCUUUUGUACGGAACGAAAAGCCCCGGGUUAAUACCCUGGGGUCAUGACGGUACCGUAAGAAUAAGCACCGGCUAACUACGUGCCAGCCGCCGCCGUAA